rnacentral:misc_RNA from 1 species
GAUGAAGAACGCAGCGAAAUGCGAUACGUAAUGUGAAUUGCAGAAUUCAGUGAAUCAUCGAGUCUUUGAACGCACAUUGCGCCCCCUGGUAUUCCGGGGGGCAUGCCUGUCCGAGCGUCAUUGCUGCCCUCAAGCACGGCUUGUGUGUUGGGCCUCCGUCCUCCUCCCGGGGGACGGGCCCGAAAGGCAGCGGCGGCACCGCGUCCGGUCCUCGAGCGUAUGGGGCUUCGUCACCCGCUCUUGUAGGCCCGGUCGGCGCUUGCCGACACAUCAAUCUUUUUUCCAGGUUGACCUCGGAUCAGGUAGGGAUACCCGCUGAACUUAAUCAUAUCAAUAAGCGGAGGA